AUUAAGGAUGAUACAAUUACAUUUUUUUCAAUUUAAAAAAUCAGUCAUAUCAGUCAUUACCGAUGAAAAUACUAAGAUAUCGAUAUA
rnacentral:snoRNA from 1 species